AGGGGUUCUUCACGGAGGUGGGGAUGUCGCGGAUCGAUUAUCGAUAGUUUAGUAUUAAGUAUUAUUAUUGAAAUUUGGUAUUGUGCCCUCAUGAAGAGAUUGGGCACACUAGGUAGAUAAUUGGUGAAUUUGGUGGUGAAUUUGUCGUCGAAAGCCAUGGAGUGUGGGAGGUUAUACUGCGAAUAAAACAUACAUAUAUACACGGAGCUACAUUGGUGUUUUAAGGCGGGUUGCCCCAUCG